GGUAGAGAGAGUUGGAGAGAAUGAGGAUUGGGAAGAUAUAGAGAGAGAGUUGAUAAAUGAGAGAAUGAAAUAUAAGGUCAAAUUCCCUCAGACUGUGUUAUUGAGGAGGACUAGAGAGUGUAGAAUGCACAACUAAUACAAUGGUAACGUGCUGCAGGGACCAAAUAAUACUUUAAGAGUUGGACCUAGUAGAGAAGAAAUAAUCUAGGGUUUGUCCUGGUCAUGGGAGAGUGAGGUUAUGUUUGUAUUUAAUUGAAUGAAACCAUCGACAAUUAUAAGGAAUUUAAUUUAGAUGUGUCUGCUUGUAGUGGAGGAGAGUAAUAAAUAGAACCAGUGUAUAUUGUGGACAUUGAAAUCACUCGCGAUUAUAAUUUAAAUAAAAAGAUUAAAGGAAAGAAUGUUUUCAGUUUUAGAAGUAAAUUAGUUAGAGUAUUGGAUCACCGGUGUGCUGUGUAUUUAGGGAACUAAUUGAUAGAACAGCUUCUUUUUUACCACAAGUACUUCAGUCAAGAUCCUCACAUCACCUGCAGGGUUUGUAGAUGUCCUUCUUGCCAUCUAUCAACUCGCUUUUCCUCAUUUCCAUCUACUUGUUUGUAUACAACAUACAUUUACCAUUUUAUAGCUCAGUGUCUCAACAAUCUCACCUGAGCUCACCCCGCAUAGUAUCAACAUUCUGAACCUAUCUACUCAGUAUGUCACGUAGCUCUACUUUGCUUUCAUGCUGUUACCUUGAAUAGGUGAUCUUACAGUGUGUAGAUGCUUCAUGCAUACCAGGUUAAUUAAGGAUCUUUGGCUUAUAGUUAGGUUAAUAAGACAUGGAUAUAGUCCCGCUGCUCUCCAUUGCUAAGCCAGUUACUUGUCUGAUGCCAAACUUGAUAAUGUAGCAAAUGCAUUCCAAUGGGGUCAGGGUGACCUACCACCUCCAGCCUCAGGGCCACCCUUCUUUGUGCAACACGUGUUAAAGCUGACUAUGGUAAUAUGCAACCUGAUGAAGAAGCAGCCCUCAGAGUGCUACCCUUGAGUUCGGGCUCUUACACUGUCAGUAGGAACGUCAGUCUGCAAAAGCUCUCGCCUGUUAUCCUCUGGAGAAGCAGCGCACUAGCCCAGAAAAUGCAGCAGAAUCCAGGGGAAAACACGGCUCUGUUGUCCCAGAUGCCAUCAGACGAGUUUGAAGCCGAUUCUGUGGCUGUGUACUCUUCUUAACAUCAACCCACUUUUACAGAGUAGGAGCCGGGCUUUAUACGUAGGACUUACUACAGUUGUGCCCUCUUAGCUAUUCCCUCAGUAAUCAAAGAUUACCUGCCUACUUACAAGUGUUCUGAAUAUUCAAAUUAAAACCUUGGCCAUUCCCUUGCAAGAUGAAGAUUACCAGUAAAGGAAUUUAAUAGUGAACUAACGUAUCUUACUUUUUCAGAUAUCUUCGGCAACCCAGCAAAACUAAAGAAGGGGGAUACAAUCACACUCAGUGGAAAGAAGAAAUCAAGCAAGAAACAGCUAAUUAAAAAUGCAUGCAAGGUUAUAUAGAACCAAAAUAUAGAUGAGGUCAUUUAAUGUUACUAUAUAGUCAUCAGUAUAGCCAAGACCAUUGGGGUCACUGUAUAAAGCUUAUAUAGAAGUAAGAGUACCAGCAAGGUCAUGUCAGGUCACUGUAUACAAGGUCAGAAGUAAGAGUACCAAUAAGGUCAUGUCAGGUCACUGUAUACAAGGUCAGAAGAGUACCAAUAAGGUCACGUCAGGUCACUGUAUACAAGGUCAGAAGUAAGAGUACCAAUAAGGUCACGUCAGGUCACUGUAUACAAGGUCAGAAGUAAGAGUACCAAUAAGGUCAUGUCAGGUCACUGUAUACAAGGUCAGAAGAGUACCAAUAAGGUCAUGUCAGGUCACUGUAUACAAGGUCAGAAGUAAGAGUACCAAUAAGGUCAUGUCAGGUCACUAUACAAGGCCAGAAGAGUACCAAUAAGGUCAUGUCAGGUCACUGUAUACAAGGCCAGAAGAGUACCAAUAAGGUCAUGUCAGGUCACUGUAUACAAUGUCAGAAGUAAGAGUACCAAUAAGGUCAUGUCAGGUCACUGUACACAAGGCCAGAAGUAUGAGUACCUAUAAGGUCAUGUCAGGUCACUGUAUACAAGGUCAGAAGUAAGAGUACCAAUAAGGUCAUGUCAGGUCACUGUACACAAGGCCAGAAGUAUGAGUACCUAUAAGGUCAUGUCAGGUCACUGUAUACAAGGUCAGAAGAGUACCAAUAAGGUCAUAUCAGGUCACUGUAUACAAGGUCAGAAGUAAGAGUACCAAUAAGGUCAUGUCAGGUCACUGUACACAAGGCCAGAAGAGUACCAAUAAGGUCAUGUCAGGUCACUGUAUACAAGGUCAGAAGUAAGAGUACCAAUAAGGUCAUGUCAGGUCACUGUAUACAAGGUCAGAAGUAAGAGUACCAAUAAGGUCAUGUCAGGUCACUGUACACAAGGCCAGAAGAGUACCAAUAAGGUCAUGUCAGGUCACUGUAUACAAGGCCAGAAGUAAGAGUACCAAUAAGGUCAUGUCAGGUCACUGGAUACAAGGUCAGAAGUAAGAGUACCAAUAAGGUCAUGUCAGGUCACUGUACACAAGGCCAGAAGAGUACCUAUAAGGUCAUGUCAGGUCACUGUAUACAAGGUCAGAAGAGUACCAAUAAGGUCAUGUCAGGUCACUGUAUACAAGGCCAGAAGUAAGAGUACCAAUAAGGUCAUGUCAGGUCACCGUAUACAAAAUUGUUGUCAGGAAAGGCCAUAUAUUUAAUGGUAUGGUAAAAAAAAAAUAUUUAUUAUUUUAUUAAACCUUUCACUGUGGAAGGCCAAAAAGAUUUGAUUAUUUCCCUCUGUAGCAGUUUUUCCAAACAUUAGGUCUCCAUAAAGUGUAAAGUCACCCUGAGUUACUGAACAUGCCUCAGUCUCCCUGAAUGUAUUAAGUUAUAUGAGUAAUGGUGUGGCGUGACGUGCGUUGAUUCCCAUGUCCAGGUUUCUGUCACUCUUCUACAUGUUGGUUGGACCAGUUAUAAUCACAAGAACUUGAAAUAUUUAUAUAUUCUUCCUUUAUAAUUUUUUCCUUCACAUUUUGAGCCGCUGCCUAGGGACUACAAUGGUUGUGUUCUUGAUGGAUACUGACCAUUACCACAAUUAAAGCAAAUAUCAUCUAUGUUUAUGGUAGAAUCGAGUGAUGCCAACAGAAAGGAUUUAUAACCCCCAGUUGUUUUUCAGAGUGCUAGGUAUAUAUUUAUCUUUAGUAUCCGACCCAUAAGUAUCACAAUCACAACAUACAGAUUAAGAUAUUGUCAGGUGUACAGGACAGCCACAGUGAAAGAGUUAAGAAUAAAUAAAAGAUUUAAUAUUGGUUCAUGAGAGGUGCAGUAAGUGCCUGAAGUACAGUAAAUGUCCAGCUGAUCAUCCUUGUUGACUUGGUGAUAAAUGAAGGGUAUAGAGUUCUUAGAUGACUUUGUAAGAUACUACACUACACUAAAGUAUUAUGCUACACUACAUUACACUACACUACCCUAUGCUACACAACAUUACACUACACUACCCUACUAUACACUAUCCUACACUACACUACAAUAUUAUGCUACACUACACUUUGCUAUGCUACACUAUGUUACACUACACUACACUAAAUGAGUUUUGUACAAUUAUUUCGUUUUUAAAAAUUUAAUUCUAUUGUAAGUGUUGACAGUGUAGAAGAUAGACACACCAUUAUGACCUAGCAGCUGUAACCGCUACCUACCGGUAUUCUAGUGCUUUAAUUAUUAUAAAUUGGCUUCAUCACUGACCUAAAUCAUAUUAGCCUUUGUUGUGUCAUGAAAUGUUUCCAUUCCUUUUGAAAAUUAAAGCAUAAUUGGUAAGUAACUUGUGCUGAAACUUUCAGCAGAACUUUAAAAUAAUCUAAUUUGUUUUAUAUAUGUACUGUACUUGUUCCAAAAAUUAUCUCAAUGAUUUUAUGUUAGACAAUAUGAUGCAACGAACAGGAGUCGCAGUUUUCAUUUUGAAAUUCUUCAGACCCUUCUGUAAAGAUACUUUUUGCAGUGUGUGUACAUUGCUUGUACUACCAUUUAUUGUCUAUUUGACCAAAGGUGUUUGGUCUGUCCAUCUGUAGCCAAUUAGCUUUCUCAUGUCUAGAGUACAGUAUUAAGUGUACAGUUGGACCAUAAAUUAUUUUUUAUCCAUUUGUUCGAUAUAUUUCAAAAUGAACACCACCUCUCCUGUUGUCUCGACAGGGUUGGUAAGAGUGAUUGCAACGUCAUUUUGCUUAUCCCCAUUUUACAAACAUUUGAAUCACAUUUCGAAACAUAAGAUUACACAGAAAAGGAGUAGCUUGACUACCACAACUGAAAAUUGUUACAAGUUCUUUAUAUACAUGACUGUCAGUUUUAUACGCAUUACUGCACUGUCAGUUUUAUACACAGCACUGUCAAUUUUAUAUACAUUACUGUCAGUUUUAUACACAGCACUAUCAGUUUUAUGCACAUUACUGUCAGUUUUAUACACAGCACUGCCAGUUUUAUACACAGCACUGCCAGUUUUACACACAGCACUGUCAGUUUUAUACACAGCACUGCCAGUUUUAUACCUGCCAGUUUUACACACACCACUGUCAGUUUUACACACAGCACUGUCAGUUUUAUACCUGACAGUUUUAUACACAGUACUGCCAGUUUUAUACAUGGGACUUCUGUUUCAUUUUUGUUGAAAGUGUAACGAGAUUCAUCCUACAGAAGGCUAAUGCAAAAUUGACAUGUAAUAAAUAUAUUUAGCAUGUGUUGUCUUAACUCUCAGAAUGUGAUCCAUACCUUGCCUGAAGUGUGUUAAAUGAUCCUUAUAUUGUCUGAAGUGUUA
rnacentral:lncRNA from 1 species